rnacentral:rRNA from 2 species
CUGGUAAGUACGGCCGCAAGGCUGAAACUCAAAGGAAUUGACGCGGCCCCCCACAAGCGGUGGAGCAUGUGUUUUAAUUAGAAGCAACGAGAAGAACCUUACCAGGUCUCAGUAUCCUCUGACAACUCUAGAGAUAGAGCGUUCCCCUUCGGGGGACAGAGUGACAGGUGGCGCAUGGUUGUGGUCAGCUCGUGUCGUGAGAUGUUGGGUUAAGUCCCGCAACGAGCGCAACCCUUGAUUUUAGUUGCCAGCAUUCAGUUGGGCACUCUAAGGCAGUUGCCGGUGACAAACCGGAGGAAGGUGGGGAUGACGUCAAAUCAUCAUGCCCCUUAUGACCCGGGCUACACACGUGCUACAAUGGACGGUACAAAGAGUCGCGAGACCGCGAGGUGGAGCUAAUCUCAUAAACCCGUUCUCAGUUCGGAUUGUAGGCUGCAACUCGCCUACAUGAAGCCGGAAUCGCUAGUAAUCGCGGAUCAGCCGUACGCGGUGAAUACGUUCCCGGGCCUUGUA